UUUAGUGCGAGCGCGUAUUUUU
rnacentral:miRNA from 1 species